UACGGGGGGAGCAAGCGUUGUUCGGAUUUACUGGGCGUAAAGGGCGCGUAGGCGGCCAGCACAAGUCAGUUGUGAAAUCUCCGAGCUUAACUCGGAAAGGUCAACUGAUACUGUGCGGCUAGAGUGCGGAAGGGGCAACUGGAAUUCUUGGUGUAGCGGUGAAAUGCGUAGAUAUCAAGAGGAACACCUGCGGCGAAGGCGGGUUGCUGGGCUGAUACUGACGCUGAGGCGCGAAAGCCAGGGGAGCGAACGGG
rnacentral:rRNA from 1 species